AUGAUUUCCAGAGCCUGUCCCUGCCACGUGCCUGCUGGCCCCUGCUCUUAUGUGUGUGACCCCUACCCACAGCUUGGUGGCCGGUCAGAAGGCCGCCUGGGUGGCAGGGAGGCAGGGAGGCAGGGAGGCAAGCUGAAGCUGAUCCUGACUUGGCUGUCACCCCGGCCCUGGAAUCUGCUUCCCCAUCCUGCCCCUGGGGGUGUCCCUGCUCUUCCUGGAGGAGGUCCUCCCGCGCCCUCUGCUAUGGGAGGGGCAGGAGCACCCACCCAGGCCCUUGCCUUGGCCGGUCGGCCCCCUAAUGCCCCGAGCACCUGGUGCAGGACGGCCUCCCCUUCCCCCUCGGAGGGGACAGGCCCUGGGGUCCCUGACAGCCCGCUGCAGAGGGGAGGAGGCGCCACGGCUCUGCCCCUGAAACCCUGUGGCUUCCUGUUUCGCAGCCCACAAAGCACUAAAGGCCGGCAGGUCCUGGUACAUCAAAGGCCCCGGGAAGCUCAUUGUAUUGAAUUAAGUGUAAAUGAACCAGAGGCAUGUGGCUUGCAUUUCCCACAAUUACGCCUGCUCUGGGAGGGCUCCUGGGACGGCCCCCACCUCUGCCCCCUGCCCCUGAGGGGACAGCAGGGAGCCCAAGGUUGGGGUACAAAGAGGCCCCUCCACGUGGACCCCACCGUGGUCUCCCGAAGACAGAGGACCAAGGGCCAGGACUUAGGGUGGCACUGCCCACCUCUGGGCCCCCCUGCCUGCCAGGUGGGCAGCCCUGAGGACUCGCCAGGCCCGGUGCCCUUGGGGUCCGGACCCCCUUCUGUGGCCCACGGAUUGCCCACGGCAUAUCCAUGCACCGAGAGCCUGGAGCCCCAUGGCCUGAGCCCUCAGCCCCUGAAGGGUCCUAUUAGGUGGUGGGGAGGGUGGUGGGGGCUGAAGGGAACCAAACAGACCCUCCCGCCCUCCCCCUCCCACCUGCAGGGGCAAGGGUGCCUCCGAGGUGGGAGUGCCAGGGCCACGGGGUUGCCACAGUCCCCAGGCCCCGCCGAGGAGGCUCCGGGAGGCAGUGAAGCAAUGGUGUGGGGGAGUGGGCCGGGCGGUCGGACAGUGAGGAGGCCCUAG
rnacentral:lncRNA from 1 species